rnacentral:lncRNA from 1 species
UGAAUAUAACCCCACUAAGAAAAUGACAAAUAACAGUCUGAAAACAAUGCAAACCACAAAUAGAUAUAAUCAAAGUAACAUUCAGCGAUUCCCACAAACAGCGAGUUUAAAUACAAGAACCAAUAAAUAGGAGAAAACAACAAGAAUUUGAAAUCAAAGCAACCCAAAAUACUUCAAAAUCAAAGCAACACAGAUGCAUAUAAAAAUCAGAUUUUUUUUCACAAAGAAGAAAACAAAACCCUAAAUCUGAAAUUGGUACAUACCCAAUUGACUGAAAUGAAGAGACAUAAAGGUAGAAAAUAAAAGAGACCAAAUAUAAUUACAGCAGGAAAAGACUAUACCUUUAUUUAAGAAAGAAAGUGGGUGGUGAAAUAUGGGGAUAAUAAAUUAAAAUAUACUAGUAGGUAGAGUCACAGAAAACAAGAGAGGGAAUAAAGAACUUGGCAAAGCAAUAAAAGAAAGAGAAAUAGAGAGCUGGAGGAGCAAAGGGUUUUGUUAGUUUCAAAUCUGCGGGGGGGGAUAUCAGAUUAGAUUCAGAUAUAUGGGGAUAAAGAGAGCAGAAAGGCUUCCACUAGACUGUUAAAUAUGUACAGAGGUUUCCGAGAAAUUUCUCUAGAAGGACGACAAUAUAAAGAGAAACAUGGUUAGGUAGCGCCAAAUCAAUUUCCCAAUAGGGUUCGGA